ACACGUGAGUAACCUACCUCCGAGCGGGGGACAACAUUUGGAAACAGAUGCUAAUACCGCAUAAGACCACAGCCGGACAUCCGGCAGGGGCCAAAGGAUUUAUCCACUUGGAGAUGGACUCGCGUCCGAUUAGCUAGUUGGUGAGGUAACGGCCCACCAAGGCGACGAUCGGUAGCCGGACUGAGAGGUUGAACGGCCACAUUGGGACUGAGACACGGCCCAGACUCCUACGGGAGGCAGCAGUGGGGAAUAUUGCACAAUAGGCGAAAGCCUGAUGCAGCGACGCCGCGUGAGGGAAGAAGGUUUUCGGAUUGUAAACCUCUGUCUUCGGGGACGAAACAAAUGACGGUACCCGAGGAGGAAGCCACGGCUAACUACGUGCCAGCAGCCGCGGUAAAACGUAGGUGGCAAGCGUUGUCCGGAAUUACUGGGUGUAAAGGGAGCGCAGGCGGGCUGGCAAGUUGAAUGUGAAAACUAUGGGCUCAACCCAUAGAUUGCGUUCAAAACUGCUGGUCUUGAGUGAUGGAGAGGCAGGCGGAAUUCCCGGUGUAGCGGUGGAAUGCGUAGAUAUCGGGAGGAACACCAGUGGCGAAGGCGGCCUGCUGGACAUUUACUGACGCUGAGGCUCGAAAGUGUGGGGAGCAAACAGGAUUAGAUACCCUGGUAGUCCACACCGUAAACGAUGAUUACUAGGUGUGGGGGGAUAGACCCCCUCCGUGCCGCAGCUAACGCAAUAAGUAAUCCACCUGGGGAGUACGGCCGCAAGGCUGAAACUCAAAAGAAUUGACGG
rnacentral:rRNA from 1 species